GACGAACGCUGGCGGCGUGCUUAACACAUGCAAGUCGAACGGAAAGGCCCUUCGGGGUACUCGAGUGGCGAACGGGUGAGUAACACGUGGGUGAUCUGCCCUGCACUUUGGGAUAAGCCUGGGAAACUGGGUCUAAUACCGAAUAGGACCACGCGCUUCAUGGUGUGUGGUGGAAAGCUUUUGCGGUGUGGGAUGGGCCCGCGGCCUAUCAGCUUGUUGGUGGGGUAAUGGCCUACCAAGGCGACGACGGGUAGCCGGCCUGAGAGGGUGACCGGCCACACUGGGACUGAGAUACGGCCCAGACUCCUACGGGAGGCAGCAGUGGGGAAUAUUGCACAAUGGGCGCAAGCCUGAUGCAGCGACGCCGCGUGAGGGAUGACGGCCUUCGGGUUGUAAACCUCUUUCGCGAGGGACGAAGCGCAAGUGACGGUACCUGGAGAAGAAGGACCGGCCAACUACGUGCCAGCAGCCGCAGUAACAC
rnacentral:rRNA from 1 species